rnacentral:rRNA from 1 species
CCUACGGGAGGCAGCAGUGGGGGAUAUUGCACAAUGGGGGAAACCCUGAUGCAGCGACGCCGCGUGUGGGAAGACGGUCCUCUGGAUUGUCAACCACUGUCCCCAGGGACGAAAAUGACGGUACCUGGGGAGGAAGCUCCGGCUAACUACGUGCCAGCAGCCGAGGUAAUACGUAGGGAGCGAGCGUUGUCCGGAAUUACUGGGUGUAAAGGGGGCGUAGGCGGGGAUGCAAGUUGGGUGUCAAAACUACCGGCUCAACUGGUAGUCGCACUCAAAACUGCAGCUCUUGAGUGAAGUAGAGGCAGGCGGAAUUCCUAGUGUAGCGGUGAAAUGCGUAGAUAGUAGGAGGAACACCAGUGGCGAAGGCGGCCUGCUGGGCUUUUACUGACGCGGAGGCUCGAAAGUGUGGGGAGCAAACAGGAGUAGAUACCCCUGUAGUC